GCUACGGGCGGCAGCAGUGAGGAAUAUUGGUCAAUGGGCUUACGCCUGAACCAGCCAAGUCGCGUGAGGGAAGACUGCCCUAUGGGUUGUAAACCUCUUUUGUCAGGGAGCAACGCCGGCUACGUGUAGCCGGACUGAGAGUACCUGAAGAAAAAGCAUCGGCUAACUCCGUGCCAGCAGCCGCGGUAAUACGGAGGAUGCGAGCGUUAUCCGGAUGUAUUGGGUUUAAAGGGUGCGUAGGCGGAAUGCCAAGUCAGCGGUAAAAUCGCGGGGCUCAACCUCGCUCCGCCGUUGAAACUGGCGUUCUUUAGUGGGCGAGAAGUAUGCGGAAUGCGGGGUGGAGCGGUGAAAUGCAUAGAUAUCACGCAGAACUCCGAUUGCGAAGGCAGCAUACCGGCGCCCAACUGACGCUGAAGCACGAAAGCGUGGGUAUCGAACAGGAGUAGAUACCCCAGUAGUC
rnacentral:rRNA from 1 species